rnacentral:rRNA from 1 species
CGCGUAGGCGGUCGUUUAAGUCAGGCGUGAAAGCCCCCGGCUCAACUGGGGAGGUUGCAUCUGAUACUGGGCGGACUAGAGUGCAGGAGAGGAAAGUGGAAUUCCGAGUGUAGCGGUGAAAUGCGUAGAUAUUCGGAGGAACACCAGUGGCGAAGGCGGCUUUCUGGACUGCAACUGACGCUGAGGCGCGAAAGCUGGGGGAGCGAACGGGAUUAGAUACCCCGGUAGUCCCAGCCGUAAACGAUGGAUGCUAGGUGUGGGGGGUAUCGACCCCUUCCGUGCCGCAGUCAACACAAUAAGCAUCCCGCCUGGGGAGUACGGCCGCAAGGUUGAA